UUGAUUAAUUUUCAAGUGUAGUACAAGUUCAAGGAGGUGAUAGCAACAUUGGAUAUUGAAUCGAGGAAAAAGAAAUUGCGAAAUUGGAGCAAUUAAGAGUAGAAAUUCCUCGAGAAAAUUAAGGCUAAAAAGAGCGACAAAGCGAAUGGUUUUGCGAUUAGUCGUCAACAGGUACAGAUAAUCGGUUUGGUGACCCGUCAGCAUAGGACUUCUACUCAGCUGUCCUGGAGAGCUCCGUUGUUCAGGAGUCUAAACUUUUAGUACAGAUCCUACGAUAUAUAUAUGUAUAUGUUAUCCGGGGGUACGACGGGGCCCUGUCCCGUCAUAUUUUGCUAUUCGUACUCUUAGAGGUCUGUAGACAUAUAUGUGGGUUGUGUAUCAGUUCUGUUUUGUGUCUAUACGAUGUGCUAUGAUAUGAUGUCCGUCCGUAGUGGCAGCCUUGCCGGCUUGCAUAUGACAUGAUAUUGAUGUGUAGUGGCAGCCUUGUCGGCUUGUGUAUCAUUUUAUGAUUUGAUCAGUUGUGACUCCUCAGGAGACAGUUUAUCUGAAUAUACAUAUAUGAUGACGCUAUGAACUUUCGGAGUUCUUUUGUAAAGUUCC